GUGGAAAUGUCACCCUGCCACCAUCCCGGGGAGCCACAGAGGAAAUAAUUAAUCGAGCUGUUCAGAGGAAGGAAUGAGGAGUGAAUCUUCCGGAAUGUCUCUUUACAAGGAAUUUUUGGAACAGUUUAUUUUUUGUAAAUAGACCCAAAUUCCUAAACAAUUAUCUCUCCAGAGAGCCUCCUCCUCCCCGGUUAACUCACAUAAAAGAAGGCUUUUUAAGGCCUGAAGAAGAAGUUUGUGGCCUCAAACUUCCUUUGUCUCAGCUCAGCUCUGUCCGUUGAGCUAAAAUAAAAAUAAAAAUGUUGUUUUUCUCCU